GGUUUGGUGCUCGAAAGAGAACCUGCACACAGGUGCUGCAUGGCUGUCGUCAGCUCGUGUCGUGAGAUGUUGGGUUAAGUCCCGCAACGAGCGCAACCCUUGCCAUUAGUUGCUACAUUCAGUUGAGCACUCUAAUGGGACUGCCGGUGACAAACCGGAGGAAGGUGGGGAUGACGUCAAGUCCUCAUGGCCCUUAUAGGUGGGGCUACACACGCUCAUACAAUGGCUGGUACAAAGGGUUGCCAACCCGCGAGGGGGAGCUAAUCCCAUAAAGCCAGUCGUAGUCCGGAUCGCAGUCUGCAACUCGACUGCGUGAAGUCGGAAUCGCUAGUAAUCGUGGAUCAGAAUGUCACGGUGAAUACGUUCCCGGGUCUUGUACACACCGCCCGUCACACCAUGGGAGCGGGUCUCGCCAGAAGUAGGUAGCCUAACCGCAAGGAGGGCGCUUACCACGGCGGGGUUCGUGACUGGGGUGAAGUCGUAACAAGGUAGCCGU
rnacentral:rRNA from 1 species